CACUGAUCCAAACAAACCAUCAAAUCUUGAACUUUCAUGGCAACUCUUUGAUUAAUUGCCAGUCUGAUUUGCAUUUACUUCUCAUGGCCUUUGUUGGUUCUGAAGCCACCCAUUAGGCCAAAUGGUGUAGGAAAAGUAUAACCGUGAAUUCAAUGUCAUGCCAUUGGGGUGUAAGCUACCCAAGCAGAACAUUAGGUGCUGUUCUUUCACUUAGUACGUGGCCUCACUCUUGUGAUGGAGGAAUGUAUGGGCAAAAUCUGGACUCUUGUUUUAUGCCAACACUGGAGUAAUUGGCCAAAUAACCUCCACAAUUUUAUGAAACAUUCAGUACUGUUAAUCAAAAUGGUAUUUCAAAUAUGCAAAAUCUAUUUUAAAUAACAGGCUAAAAAUGAGGCGCAAAUAACAAAGGGGUGACAGGUGGUACUUUCGAAGCUUUGUUGAAGCUGCCCUUGUGACUAAUGCCGUUUCUUUUUCACUGUUCUGAUUGAGAUGGUCCACAGCCAGCAAUACAUUACAGGAAUUCUAUUGCGCAUCAAUUGCAGCCUCUGCUCCAAGACAUCAUCUAUGUUGAACCUCAGUCGUAUCUUCAACUAAAUUGUACCACGGACAGUAAUCCAAUAUCCACGGUCAUCUGGAUGAAAUCGGGAGAGCAAACUGAAAGGAUACAAUUGACUAUUGGAUUAAGUCAUUCAAAUCUGCAGAAAGAGAAGAUCGAUGAUUCCUUCAAUGGAAAGUAUAUCUGCAGAGCUUACAAUUCAUAUGGCGCCAAAGAAUCUUCUGUGAGAGUAUACGUGACAUCAGAUUGGAAAAGUAAGUACCGUUAUAUCGGUCAAAUACACAAUAUUUUUCUAAUUUGUUAAUUUAUAGAGGGGUGAUGUGCAAAAUCAGGCUCCUGUAACAACUGAGGCUCCUGCCAAAUCAUUGAUAUUCUACACUACGGUCUUUCCAGUAAGCAGAAUGACAAUACAUGAUUACAAUCGAGCCAUCCACACUGUACAGAUAGAUGCAUGAUAAAGGGAAUAGUGUGAAUAUAUUUAGUGCAAGAUUAAGUCCAGUAAAGUCUGAUAAAAAAUAGUCCAAGGGCACAGCACAUUUGGAAGAAAUGAGACUCCUCCUAAUAGACAAACAAGACCAAUUCUUAAUGAGUUGGUCCCCAUUUAAUGGUUUCUUGGAUUCAUGUGGAGCUACAGUAUCGUGAAAAUUAAAAGUUUCAGGUAUGGGUGAAAGACGAUCGAGAACAUAAAAAAUCAUCUCCUUGUGGCGAUUGAAUAAACUCCCUCCUGCUUUCUCUCCUCACUUAUUUAUUUUCUUCACUAUUUUCUUUAUCUGCCUUUUACUCACGCACACUAGCCUAUCCUUCACUCUUCACUACCUCUUUUUCCUUUUUUCUCUUCUUACUUUUCUCUUUAAAAAAAAAGGAAGUUGUACAGAGAAUGUAAUAUGUUAACAUAAUUUUGGGUACCUGUAGAGAGGUACCACUGUAUUGUACUUACUUCUAAUAAAUAAAAUUAUAUAUAAAAAAAAAAAAAAAUUGUCCAAGGGUCUCCAAUGAGGUAGAUGGUAGCUUAGGAUUGCUACCUAGUUGUUGAUACGAAGGCUCAGUUGCCUGAUUUUGCCUUUGUGAAUCAUACAUGAAGCAGCCUGAAUUGCAUUCAUCUAUAUGACCAUCCACAUUUCAGAGGGUAAGCACAUUGUGGAUGGAAUGAAUUAAAUUCAAUGAGAACAAUCGAACAUUGAAAUUACAAAUUAACAUGUCUAGCCUAACGUGUUAGUGAGAACACAAUUAAUGGUAUUUUUUAAAAUAUUCUAACGUGGUCAGAUACGUCAGCUAUUAAAAAAGAGUAUAUCACAAUGUCUGUGCCAAACAUGAUGCCAAGUUAAACUGAUCUCAUCUGUCUGUACAAGAUCCAUAUCCCUCCAUCCCCUGCAUAUCCACGUGCCUAUCCAAAAGCCUCUAUCGUAGCUGCCUCCACCACAAGCCCUGGCAGUGUGUUCCAGGCCCCCGCCACCACCAUCACAUUGUGCCAAAAAAAACUUGCCCCUCGCUUCUCCAAUAAACUUUCCCCCUCUCACUUUAUGCCAACAUUAUACAACAAGUAUACGGGGCUUAACUGCAAUUUGAAUGGAUUGGAGUAAAUCAAUAACAUUUGGAUUCUUCCAAUGAGUCUUGAUUUUCUGAUGCCCAGACCACAAUCUGACAGCACCUCCUUCACAAUAAUUGUCAAUAUCAGUGCCCUGCAAGGAUGCUUUCUCAGACCCUUACUGUACUCCCGAUACACUAAUGACUGUACGGCCAAAUUCGGUUCAAAGUCCAUCCACAAAUUUGCAGAUGACACCAGUGUGGUGGGCUGGAUCAUGAACAAUGAUAAGAAAGAAAGGAAAUAGAGUACUUAGUAAAAUUGUGUUAGGAAAAUAUGGACAGAAGUCUACACAUAUUGACAAUAACUUCUCCCUCAAUGUUUGCAAGAUGAGCGAGCUAGUUAUCAAUGUCUGAAAGUGUGGUGCAAAACAUGGCCCGAAUCACCAUCAAUGAAGUAGAAAUGGUUGAGAUCUUAAAUUGUCUUGCCUUUAAUAUUAUUAAUUCAAUGACUCUGAUAAUAUAAUAUUAUUUAAUGACUCUUACAAACUUCCACAAAAGCACCAUAGAAAGCCUACUGUUGGGUUGCAACACAGCUUGGUUUGGGAGCAGUUCUACCCAAGGCUGCAAGAAAUUGCAGAGAAUAGUAGAUGUAGCCCAGACCAUCAUACAGUCCAGACUUCCCACCAUUGAUCCCAUCUACACUACACUCUGCCUCAGAAAAGCAGCCAAAAUAAUGUAAACUUUGGCAUCCUUCUUCACAGUCCGUGACCCCAGCAAUCUUGAUAUCAUCUGCAAACUAACUAUAACCAUAUAACAAUGACAGCACGGAAACAGGCCAUCUCGACCCUUCUAGUCCGUGCCGAACACGUAUUCUCCCCUAGUCCCAUGUACCUGCGCUCAGACCAUAACCCUCCAUUCCUUUCUCGUCUAUAUAACUAUCCAAUUCCAACUAUCAUGGGCUUUGUUUAUGAAACUGAUGUGCUACAUUGCUGAGAACUAUAUUCUGCACUUUGCAUCUUCUCCUUUGCUUUAUUUACUGUGCUUGAGUUUGAUGUGAUUGUAUUUAUGUGCAGCAUAUCGGAUCUGGUUUGAUAUCAUCCAAAACAAAGCUUUUCACUGGACAUUGGUAAACAUGGCAAUAAGAGAUCUAACCCUAGAUGGGCUGGUACAAUCCUAUCUCACAAAUUAUGGCAUGGAGAAUCUACAGCAGCAUAAAUGAGAAAUGAAUUUGCAAUUCAUGAUAUAAAUACUGUACUGAAUCGGUACGCAAGGAAGGCAAUUUAACUGAUAUUUGCUAGCGUUCUUUUAUACUGAUGCAAACCAUAAGAAACCCUAUUUUUUGUUGUCUUACAGGUCAUUUCCCUGUCCGAUUUGUAACGGUGCCCAUCUUCGUGACGACUGUGAUUUUGUUACUGCUCUGCUGCAGGAAAGAUCGGGACUGCUUGUGCAAAUGGAGGAACUCAAAGCAACACAGGAACCAACGCCGAUUGGCCAAAAGUGACUCUUCGGAAAAUGUUAACAGCCAAAAAGAGAUCAUAGCUAUUUCUGAAUUCUGAGCACAUGAUAGUUUUACAGAGGCCAGUUGGAUCUUUCUGCUAAGCUCUCUUGUAGAAACCCAAUUUCGUGGUGUAUCCUUGAAAAAAUUAUUUAUAUCUUGAGGAACAAGAGGAUUUCUCUUUACACUUCCAUCCCCCACCAGGUCUCAUGGCCCCCACUUUUUCCUUGAACAGAGCCCAAUCCAUUUCCCCUCCACUAACAUUCCUCUCCACCUGGUAGAAUCUUUCCAUUCUUAAUUACAUCUUUUUUGAAUCCUUGCACUUUCUUCAAGUUAAAUUUGUCGCCAUGUGCUCCACCAAUGCCUGCCCUUUUGUUGGUUACAUCGAACAGUCUUUGUUCUCUGGCACCCCAACUCAUUCUCGGCAAUCUGAGAAUUGUCCACACCCAAAAUGUUGCCUAUCCAUCUUCUCCAGUGAUGAUGCCUGACCUGUUGGGGUGCUCCAACACUUUGUGUCUUUUUUUUUAACAAGUGGAUUUCAUUUUCUUUACUAAAUGUAACUUAUCCAUUCACCCCAAUCUAUUGGUCCCCCACAAAUAAAUAAUUUUCUCAUGAGCUUGUGCUCUCAGCUGAAAGGUAAUAAAGCAAUGGCUUAUUCUUCAUGGAUAGCUUUAGCUAAUUUUUUUUAAACUUUAUAUCAAGAGCCAAUAAACUUCCAAGAGGUGAUGGAUCUAAAUGAGCUGACAUUUUGUGUUUGAAGUUAUUACCACAGAUUGGCUAAAAAGUACUUGCAACAGACCUUCAGACGUUGAUAUCUGAAAUUGACAUUUGGUAUAUUUGUUUGACCAUUUUCCUGAUCUCUCCCACCCCCUGCUCCUUCUCACUGAGAUGGUUCCAUUAGGUCUAUCUGCAUUGGCUGGAAUUGUUUACAAAGGUUAACAAGCUUCCAUUGCAUUCAACAGCCUGUGUCUGCUUCCUGCGAUUAAAAGAAACCAUAACAUUUACCAGGUUUUCUUUGUUUCCAGCUUAAUAUUUGACCCAGACAAAUUAAUCCGUUACUUCCUUAUCGUUACUUGUUCCAGGACAUUAAUUAUCCUGAAACUGUUAGAUACAAAUGGGAAGAUACUGGGCUGUGUUGCUGAGUAAAAAAGCCAAUUAUUCCCAUUAUCAGUUUACAAAGCAAAGUGACAAACAAAAUCAACUAAAUUGUUAUACGACUAGUUUUGGCGAGUCGAGACUUUUGGGUGCAUGAAAAGUUCUUUAUUUUAGAAC